UACGUAGGGUGCGAGCGUUAAUCGGAAUUACUGGGCGUAAAGCGUGCGCAGGCGGCGCGUUAAGACAGGUGUGAAAGCCCCGAGCUUAACUUGGGAAUUGCGCUUGUGACUGGCGUGCUGGAGUGUGGCAGAGGGAGGUGGAAUUCCACGUGUAGCAGUGAAAUGCGUAGAUAUCUGGAGGAAUACCGGUGGCGAAGGCGGCAUCCUGGACCGAGAUUGACGCUGAUGAGCGAAAGCUAGGGGAGCAAACGGG
rnacentral:rRNA from 1 species